rnacentral:lncRNA from 1 species
CGGCAAGCUGCGUGGUUUCUCUUCCCGGUAGCCAGCUCUACCAUCUCACCACAAAAGCACCCUCCGCCGGACAAAUGGAACAGCUUGGCUCUGAUCCACCAAGGUUCCCUUCAACCGGCGCCCAGCUGGACGCGUCUCAGUCCGUACAUAGCACGUACGUACGUACAUAGGUAUGUAGCUUGCUCCCUGAUUUAGGGAGCAGGAUGAAAAGUGUGCAUUUUGACUUACCCAACUACCCUAGCUCUCCUCGGCAGGCCCCUGAGGUCAGAGACAGCCACGUUUCUCUAAGCACUUCCCCAAACUCAGCUGGUGUCUCUGUGUGAAGGAUCUCAAUCUCUCAUAGGCUAUGCUUGGAAAAACGAAGUUAUUUGGGGAUGGGUGGGCGGGUGACACAUUAGAAACCCCAGAAAGGUGAGGCAGCAGAGAACAGAGAGCGUGUGAGUUUAAUCAGUUCUGCCCGGAAGGAAGGAAGGCCCAGCGUUCCGGUCUUCGCCACGGGAAAUGAAUGUAGAUUCUGGCGCUCAUGCCGUGCGCCUGCGUGGUACCUUGACUCUUUUCUGCUUACGUCACUCACAAAUAUUCUCCGUUUCUGGCUCAGCUGUUCACUUGUCCUACAGCCUGGACUGGGUUCGUCAGUGUCUUGUGUUCACCUACUGAUGUUCUAUUUUUUGUUUCUACUGUAACUAUUCCUCGUUCGUAUUUAUUAUCUGUGUUCACCCCCCCCCCAGAGGUACAAAGUCACUUCCGAUGUUCAUUUGAGUCCACUGACUGAUCUCUGUUGUGUAUUUUCCACGCCUCUGUCAUCCCUCCCCCCUCCCCCAAAAAAGUAAAAAAAAAAAAA